CCUGGAGUCCAGAGCUACAAAGGAGGGACCAAGUUGCUUGAGACCUUCAUUAAGGUAUUUAAUGUGCUCGUCACGUUGAAGCUCCAACCUGGUGGUUUGGGCUCCAGGAGGAAUACUAGCGAACAUAUUGUAUAUCCGGAACACCCGAUCCUCAACAGACCACUGCUCCACUUGAGUCACCGUCUCUCUACCACUUUCCAUCUCCAAAGUAUGUCACCCUAUAAGCGAAGGAAGAGAAUAGGCUACUCGUGAUGGAUUGCAGAUUAAAAAAAA